UCAACUGACUGAUUGCCCCGAGUUUGUACCAGGCCAAGCCUUUUGUUCACAUACAGAGUCUGCCCCAAAUUCUCCAAGAACUGGAAGUCCACUGAAUCCAAAGAAAAAUACUGAAACAAGUAAUCUUCAAGCAAUGUCUAGAGGCUUGUCUACAAGUUUGCCUGACUUGGACUCAGAACCUUGGGUAGAAGUUAAAAAGAGACAUCGUCCAUCUCCAGUGAAAUUGAAGGAAUCAUCAUCUCUACCUGAAGAGGCAUCAGAUCAGCUGUAUCCUUCAGAUGAACAAGAGCAAGAAGAACUUGAUUUUUUAUUUGAUGAAGAGAUAGAACAAAUAGAAGGACGAAAAAACACAUUUACUGAUUGGUCUGAUAAUGAUUCAGAUUAUGAAAUUGAUGACCAGGAUUUAAACAAGAUUUUGAUUGUAACUCAAGACACCACCUUACAUGAGAAAACAUCCUGGAGGAGAUCGAACAGGCAACCACAUGUCUCGGGCAAAAAUUACAUCUGAACUUGCUAAAGUCACUAAUGAUGGCUUAUACUACUAUGAACAGGAUCUAUGGAUGGAGGAAGAUGAAAACAAACACACAGCC